ensembl:lncRNA
AGCUGAUAUCUCAAAGUGCUGUACAGAAACCCAGCCUAAAACCCCAAACAGCAAGCAAUGCAGGUGUAGAAGCACGGUGGCUAAGAAAAACUCCCUAGAAAGGCCAAAACCUAGGAAGAAACCUAGAGAGGAACCAGGCUAUGUGGGGUGGCCAGUCCUCUUCUGGCUGUGCCGGGUGGAGAUUAUAACAGAACAUGGCCAAGAUGUUCAAAUGUUCAUAAAUGACCAGCAUGGUCCAAUAAUAAUAAGGCAGAACAGUUGAAACUGGAGCAGCAGCACAGCCAGGUAGACUGGGGACAGCAAGGAGUCAUCAUGUCAGGUAGUCCUGGGGCAUGGUCCUAGGGCUCAGGUCCUCCGAGAGAGAGAAAGAAAGAGAGAAGGAGAGAAUUAGAGAACGCACACUUAGAUUCACACAGGACACCGAAUAGGACAGGAGAAGUACUCCAGAUAUAACAAACUGACCCCAGCCCCCCGACACAUAAACUACUGCAGCAUAAAUACUGGAGGCUGAGACAGGAGGGGUCAGGAGACACUGUGGCCCCAUCCGAGG